CCUACGGGAGGCAGCAGUGAGGAAUAUUGGUCAAUGGCCGGGAGGCUGAACCAGCCAAGUCGCGUGAGGGAAGACGGCCCUACGGGUUGUAAACCUCUUUUGUCAGGGAGCAAGGUGCAGGUCGGGACCUGCUGUGAGAGUACCUGAAGAAAAAGCAUCGGCUAACUCCGUGCCAGCAGCCGCGGUAAUACGGAGGAUGCGAGCGUUAUCCGGAUUUAUUGGGUUAAAAGGGUGCGCAGGCGGAGGCACAAGUCAGCGGUAAAAUCGCGGGGCUCAACCCCGCUCCGCCGUUGAAACUGUGGCCCUUGAGUGCGCGAAGGGUAGGCGGAAUGCGUGGUGUAGCGGUGAAAUGCAUAGAUAUCACGCAGAACUCCGAUCGCGAAGGCAGCCUACCGGCGCGCAACUGACGCUCAUGCACGAAAGCGUGGGUAUCGAACAGGAUUAGAUACCCUAGUAGUC
rnacentral:rRNA from 1 species